rnacentral:lncRNA from 1 species
UGAGUAAUUUUGUUGUCUCCAGCUUAAUAGCGUAUCCAUAUUUUGCGGGAUUUCUGAAGGAGCUGCAUGGGUUCCAGUUGCCCUACUAAUUGAAUGAAUUUGGAAACUCGUGCUUGACCUGAACCCUCGGGCGGCGCCGUUCCCAGUGGGGAAAGAGACUGUUUGGAGACAUCGCCCUCCAGUGACAGCACUCGGGAACUGUUGAGAGGCCUGGGUACACCUUUGCUUCCCAUUGAUUGUUCCUCUAAGAACAGGGGUGCUCUGAGCCCGUUCCAGCCUGUGAAAGCUCCCUUGAGUUCGUUGUACGUUUGUCCUUGCCCGGAUGUGUCGGCAACACGCUUGGAGGCAUAAACAGAACAAAACUUCAGACGUGUUCUUAACUGUCAGGAGUAACAGUUGCAGAUAAAAGCUGCAGAAUUGCUCAAUACUGGGAAGGCUGAGCACAACUAGAAUUAUUCCGGUAACUUAACAGAAAAAAUAAAUAAACAUGUCAAUAGUUACAGGGUUUAGGAGGGAGGGAGAGUGUAAAUUCAUAGCAAAACAUUUGGAACAUUCCGUUUAGCCCCUUCCCUUGUGCGGGGGCGGAAGUCUGAGGCGAGUGGGGUGCACUGUGGGGAGGGGCAGCAGAGAAGAAGUCUCACCAGAGUAGACAGGACCAGGGGGCCGUGCUGAGCCCUGGCCCCAGGAGCUGGCAACAGAUCCAAGGCAUGCCCUCACUCCUCACAGGAUGGCAAGGAGAAACGAUCAAUCGCUUAAGUAAUAAAAAACAUCCAAAUCAGACCCGUCUGCAGUCAGAAUACUGCCUCCGCCGGCCGCCUUCCUUCCCUCGGAACUGAGCCCAUCCAGGGCUGCAGAGCGGCCUGCAGUCCCUGGUGGCAACAGCACUUAGCGGCGCCUCAUGUUUAAUGCAAGCAAGCUUCGGAAACAGGAAAGCUUUCAAGAUACAGCUGAAGAUGCACGAGCGCUGCCCUUUACAGAGCAAACACGAAUGUACAAAACCAACGUGGGUUUUCCUGUGUUACAAUAAUUGUGUUCUCAUCUGUACAGAUUUAAGCUAACCGCUUCUGUCAGAAGAAAGGAGAAAUCUAUAUCC